UACGUAGGGUGCAAGCGUUGUCCGGAAUUAUUGGGCGUAAAGAGCUCGUAGGCGGUUUGUCGCGUCUGCUGUGAAAACUCGGGGCUUAACUCCGGGCCUGCAGUUGGUACGGGCAGACUAGAGUGCGGUAGGGGAGACUGGAAUUCCUGGUGUAGCGGUGAAAUGCGCAGAUAUCAGGAGGAACACCGGUGGCGAAGGCGGGUCUCUGGGCCGUAACUGACGCUGAGGAGCGAAAGCGUGGGGAGCGAACAGG
rnacentral:rRNA from 1 species